rnacentral:sRNA from 1 species
AAAAUAUGUUUUCCUUAUAAAAAUGGUUUCUAUCACUAACUCUUUAACCAUCAACAACCUACUAUUUUAUUAAAUGACAUUGUUUUUUCCUUAGAUUCUUAUUGGAUAUCUCUUCUAAGUCGUUAAUAUUCAUUUUCUUU